rnacentral:other from 1 species
AGAUGUCUGAAAGAUGCGAAACUGGUAACUUAUAAAACCGACUAAUUUGACGAUACGGGAGUUCGGAUCUAUUACUGGUGUUGAAUAUCUGUAUUUAUACAGAGAUCCUAAAGGUAAUGUAUGGACACCCACCUGUACAUAUGCAGGUUUUAUCGUCUACUAAGCCGCUCUUUUGGAUUUUUU